UCCAUUGUUAACAAUUUCAUGAAUAAGCCUUCAAUGAUGAGCAGCUACGAAAAUGACUUUUUCAGUAAACUGAAUAGCUGGUUGUAUGAGAAUAUACAAGGCUUUAAAUAUAUGGACUCUAAAGAUUUGUUGUCUUGGGUGGGCUUUCUGGCUGGCGUAUCACUGACAUUCACUAUUAUCUAUUUCUACAUACAAGGAGAAUUAUUAGGGAAAGCGGCCAAACAGUCCAAAAGAAAUACCUUAAGUAAUUCUAGAAUUCUUAAUAAUCCCGUUAAAGUUGAAACUCCCACUAGACAAACACGCACUUUACGAUCGAGAACGCAAGAGGAUAAACCCAAAAAAAGCAGCCUAACUCCCAAGUAUUCUAAAAGUCAACUGCAACAUUUAAAAAAUGAAGAACUCAAAAAAAUUCUUCUAGAUUAUGGAUCGACGCCUUCUGGAAAUAAAUCUCAAAUGGUUGAAAGCAUUUUAAAAAAACAAGAAAAAAC